rnacentral:rRNA from 1 species
GACGAACGCUGGCGGCGUGCUUAACACAUGCAAGUCGAACGGAAAGUCCCUGCUUUUGUGGGGUGCUCGAGUUGCGAACGGGUGAGUAACACUUGAGUAACCUGCCCUUGACUUUGGGAUAACUUCAUGAAACUUGGGCUAAUACCGGAUAGGAGCUCCUGCUGCAUGGUGGGGGUUGGAAAGUUUCGGCGGUUGGGGAUGGACUCGCGGCUUAUCAGCUUGUUGGUGGGGUAGUGGAUUACCAAGGCUUUGACGGGUAGCCGGCCUGAGAGGGUGACCGGCCAAAUUGGGACUGAGAUACGGCCCAGACUACUCCGGGAGGCAGCAGUGGGGAAUAUUGCACAAUGGGAGGAAGCAUGAUGCAGCAAAGCCGCGUGCGGGAUGACGGCAUUCGGGUUGUAAACCGCUUUCGCCUGUGACGAAGCGUGAGUGACGGUAAUGGGUAAAGAAGCACCGGCUAACUACGUG